CUUGAGGUUUCCCUUAGGCCAUCUUUAUCGCAAUAACAGUUGGCCUGUUCUUGGGCUUUUUAAAAUUGGAAAAUAUUAAACAGUGGGUUUAGAUCAGAAAAACUGUUCUUAUUUGAGAACUGUUGUUGGACUUGUUCUUGGGUGAUGUGGCGUUUUUUGAUUGGAAACAAUUUUUUGCAACCGAGAGAUCAUUUUCAUUUUGUUCGAUAUCGUCGUCGGGUUUUCUUGUUUCUCUCCCAAACGGCGAUAGCUUGCAUCUGCACCAACUUCUCCGAUUAAGGCGGCUGCAGAGCUGGCCAGGGAUCGGAUCGUAGUUGGAGUAUGUGAGCGACCACACCUUUAAGCAAGAAUUCAACAUUGAGAAGUUUCAGCUAGUUGAAGCAGAGAAGAAGAAGAUUAAACAAAAGUAUGAGAAGAACGAGAAACAGGUCGAUGUCAGAAAGAAGAUGUUCAUGGACCUGAGCUCUGUUUUGGAGCCUGACAGGACAUCGGGUUUCAUGCCUCCCCAGCAUCCAGCAGCUUUCCAUCCCAAUAAGAUGGUGGUCUACCCUAGUUACGGUUACUAUCCAUUGGGAGGGGAUUAGAGAGUUUUGUGAUUUUUUAUAGGCGAUCCAGCGAAGGAAGUUUUCAAAGAUGCAUGUCAAGAACUCAUGCAAAUGAACAGACAUGUGAGAAGCGUUUUUGACAAGGCUGUUACUGAGUAUAAGGCUGAACAAGAGCAUAAGGAGAAGAAGGCUGCAGAAGAGCGUAAGAGGCAGAUGGGACUAUUUGGGUCAAUGGACAUUGAAACCAACUGAUUUUACAAAAUAAACAAUUGAUUUUCUCUAUGGAGUUUCAUACUGUUUUGAUCUUUAAAUCCAGAUUUAUCCUUAAAAAUUGAUUCGUUUCACAAUCCAA